rnacentral:rRNA from 1 species
ACAGCAGUAGCCGCGGGAAUACGUAGGGUGCGAGCGUUAAUCGGAAUUACUGGGCGUAAAGCGUGCGCAGGCGGUUCGUUAAGACAGAUGUGAAAUCCCCGGGCUUAACCUGGGAACUGCAUUUGUGACUGACGGGCUAGAGUAUGGCAGAGGGGGGUAGAAUUCCACGUGUAGCAGUGAAAUGCGUAGAGAUGUGGAGGAAUACCGAUGGCGAAGGCAGCCCCCUGGGCCAAUACUGACGCUCAUGCACGAAAGCGUGGGGAGCAAACAGGAUUAGAUACCCGCGUAGUCCCUGUCUCUUAUAC